UACCAAUAUCUAAUACUUAGAUCAUUGUAUCAAAAAUUUAAAAGUUGCAAGGUGUUAUCAUAUAAUUAUCUUGCCCAGCAACUGAUUGCUUUUUCUUCUUCGACCUAUUCAGAUAAAAAAAAGCUAUAUAUUGAGGACAGUUCUUUUUUCAAUGGCCCUACUUCCUAUAGUAGAAGCACUUUGCCUGACUCUGGUUGGACUUAGACUUGGACGUCUGGGUCUGACUUCCAAUACUUUGUACCUUUUUAUUCUUCUUUUUCUUUCCUUUCUUAAAAAGACGACGUCCAUCUAAAGAAAAUCCUUCCACUACAUUCACUGUCUCCUUAUAGAGCUAGUGAUUUUUUUCAAAAGUUUGUAGCAACCCCAACAGAUCUUGGUAGUUCACUAUAGGCUUCAUCAUUCGGUAAUGACUGAGAAAUUAUAGGUAGGAUUUUGGUAGAAAAUUCAGGAUCACAUCUUUUUCAAGCUAUUUGUACAAGAAAAAAUCAAGCUUGCUCAGGCGCUCAAUCUAUUCAAUCAUAUAUAAUAUAUGAUCAGUGAUCAAUGCUCCCUCCCUCAUCCUGAUGUUGAAAACGACACAACUAGUCUUGUAUUUUUUGAUGUCAUCGGGAGUGCCAAAAGAUUCAUUCAACACCUUGAGCAUGUUUUUUGAUUGAGCUUUCUCGAAUUUGUGACUGAACACGUCAUUCAUGACUGUCUGCAUGAUACAAUGCACCGUGAUGCGAUCGUUGAGCCACUUCAGAUAAGUAUCUCAAAUCGCAUUGUAAGCAUUCGGAGUGGGCUCCUCAAGUGUCGGAUCGUAAGCACG
rnacentral:lncRNA from 1 species